CUUGUCAGGUUGCUGCCAUGUUUCGCCAUCAUGUCUCCUGUUUUCGUCUCUGCUUCAAGACUUUUAAGUCCUUCAUCAAAAGACAAAGAACUCAUUUGUCAACAAACAGCCAAGAAAAGAAGAGGAAGUGAGAGAGUUUCCGGCAAAGAGCACGUGAGUAUCAGCGGGAGCUUACAGAACGAG